rnacentral:lncRNA from 1 species
AUGGCCAGGACCGCAGUGUGGAACAUCACUUCCCCUGCCACAGCUAAGGUGGCUCUAAUAGCAUCUCUAACAGCAUCCCAACACCUACUCCCACCACCUCAGGCACUGCCACCACCAGUAAAACUAACACUGUUGCUGGUGACAUCACUGUCGGGCAGAGGCAGCCAGCAUCCCUACCACCAUCACCAUCACCACCAUCACCAUCAUCAUCACUAUCACCACCAUCAUCACCAUCAUGACCAUCAUCACCACCAUCACCAUCACUACCAUCACCACCACCACCAUCACCACCAUCACCACCAUCACCACCAUCACCACCAUCACCACCAUCAACAUCACCAUCACCACCACCAUCACCACCAUCACCACCAUCAUCACCAUCAUCACCAUCAUCACCAUCACCACCAUCACCACCACCAUCACCAUCACCAUCACCACCAUCACCACCACCAUCACCAUCACCAUCAUCACCACCAUCACCAUCACCACCAUCACCAUCACCACCACCAUCACCAUCAUCACCACCAUCACCAUCACCACCACCAUCACCAUCACCACCACCACCACCACCGUCACCAUCACCACCAUCACCACCACCACCACCACCACCAUCACCACCACCACCACCAUCACCAUCACCAUCACCACCAUCAUCACCACCAUCACCACCAUCACACCAUCACCACCAUCACCACCAUCACUACCGCCACCAUCACCACCAUCACCGUCACCACCGUCACCGUCAUCACCAGCACCACCAUCACCAUCACCACCAUCACCACCGUCACCGUCACCACCGUCACCAUCACCACCAUCACCACCACCACCAUCACCAUCAUCACCACCAUCACCAUCACCACUGCCAUCACCAUCACCACCAUCACCAUCACCACCACCACCAUCACCACCAUCACUAUCACCAUUACCACCAUCAACAUCACCACCAUCAUCACCAACAGGAAGGUAAUAACCAGCUUGGCUUCACUACCUGCUUCAACUUGGCUCUAA